rnacentral:rRNA from 1 species
GAACCAGUACCGUGAGGGAAAGGCGAAAAGAACCCCGGGAGGGGAGUGAAAUAGAACCUGAAACCUGAUGCAUACAAACAGUGGGAGCACCCUUGUGGUGUGACUGCGUACCUUUUGUAUAAUGGGUCAACGACUUACAUUCAGUAGCGAGCUUAACCGAAUAGGGGAGGCGUAGGGAAACCGAGUCUUAAUAGGGCGAAUAGUUGCUGGGUGUAGACCCGAAACCGAGUGAUCUAUCCAUGGCCAGGUUGAAGGUGCCGUAACAGGUACUGGAGGACCGAACCCACGCAUGUUGCAAAAUGCGGGGAUGAGCUGUGGAUAGGGGUGAAAGGCUAAACAAACUCGGAGAUAGCUGGUUCUCCCCGAAAACUAUUUAGGUAGUGCCUCGAGCAAGACACUGAUGGGGGUAAAGCACUGUUAUGGCUAGGGGGUUAUUGCAACUUACCAACCCAUGGCAAACUAAGAAUACCAUCAAGUGGUUCCUCGGGAGACAGACAGCGGGUGCUAACGUCCGUUGUCAAGAGGGAAACAACCCAGACCGCCAGCUAAGGUCCCAAAUGAUAGAUUAAGUGGUAAACGAAGUGGGAAGGCCCAGACAGCCAGGAUGUUGGCUUAGAAGCAGCCAUCAUUUAAAGAAAGCGUAAUAGCUCACUGGUCGAGUCGUCCUGCGCGGAAGAUGUAACGGGGCUCAAAUCUAUAACCGAAGCUGCGGAUGCCAGUUUACUGGCAUGGUAGGGGAGCGUUCUGUAGGCCGAUGAAGGUGCAUUGUAAAGUGUGCUGGAGGUAUCAGAAGUGCGAAUGUUGACAUGAGUAGCGAUAAAGCGGGUGAAAAGCCCGCUCGCCGAAAGCCCAAGGUUUCCUACGCAACGUUCAUCGGCGUAGGGUGAGUCGGCCCCUAAGGCGAGGCAGAAAUGCGUAGUCGAUGGGAAACAGGUUAAUAUUCCUGUACUUGAUUCAAAUGCGAUGUGGGGACGGAGAAGGUUAGGUUAGCAAGCUGUUGGAAUAGCUUGUUUAAGCCGGUAGGUGGAAGACUUAGGCAAAUCCGGGUCUUCUUAACACCGAGAAGUGACGACGAGUGUCUACGGACACGAAGUAACCGAUACCACGCUUCCAGGAAAAGCCACUAAGCUUCAGUUUGAAUCGAACCGUACCGCAAACCGACACAGGUGGGCAGGAUGAGAAUUCUAAGGCGCUUGAGAGAACUCAGGAGAAGGAACUCGGCAAAUUGAUACCGUAACUUCGGGAGAAGGUAUGCCCCAAGUAGGUGAACUCGAACAGAGGGAGCCCAACGGGGUUGCAAAAAAUCGGUGGCUGCGACUGUUUAAUAAAAACACAGCACUCUGCAAACACGAAAGUGGACGUAUAGGGUGUGACGCCUGCCCGGUGCUGGAAGAUUAAAUGAUGGGGUGCAAGCUCUUGAUUGAAGUCCCAGUAAACGGCGGCCGUAACUAUAACGGUCCUAAGGUAGCGAAAUUCCUUGUC